CGCACAUUGCGCCCCCCAGCAUUCUGGGGAGCAUGCCUGUUCGAGCGUCAUUUCGACCCUCAAGUCCUAGUUACUUGGUGUUGGGGUCCGCCGUGGCGGGCCCUGAAAUACAUUGGCGGAGCUGGUCAGCACUCUGAGCGUAGUAAAUAACCUCGCUUUUGAAGGCUCUCCGGCCCCUAGCCGUAAAAACCCACCAUAUCAAAAAGUUUGACCUCGGAUCAGGUAGGAAUACCCGCUGAACUUAA
rnacentral:misc_RNA from 1 species